UCCUCUGUAGUUCAAAGGUAGAACGCUACGCUGUUAACGUAGAUGUUGUAGGUUCGAGUCCUACCGGAGGAG
rnacentral:tRNA from 1 species